ensembl:lncRNA
GUGCAGAAAGCAGGGUGUGUUCUGGGUGUCUGGGUGUCUGGGUGUCUGGGUGUCUGGGUGUCUGGGUGUCUGGGUGUCUGGGUGUCUGGGUGUCUGGGUGUCUGGGUGUCUGGGUGUCUGGGUGUCUGGGUGUCUGGGUGUCUGGGUGUCUGGGUGUCUGGGUGUCUGGGUGUCUGGGUGUCUGUGCAGAAAGCAGGGUGGGUUCUGGGUGUCUGUGCAGAAAGCAGGGUGGGUUCUGGGUGUCUGUGCUGAAAGCAGGGUGUGUUCUGGGUGUCUGGGUGUAGAUGUGUCUGUGCAGAGAGCAGGGUGCAUUCUGGGCGUCUGGAACAUCGAGGCAUGAUUUGGCACCAACUCCAGGCAGCAAGGACAGAAGGCAGACACUUCUGUGAGGUAUAUUUGGACCUUAUUAAUGGCUUUGGAUCGGUGCCACAGUCUGUUGUAGAAGGUAUUCCCUUACUUUCAGGUCCCUGAGAAGAUUCAAAGAGUCAAAGCAUAUUUUGUGGAUAUUCAGUUGUGCUUCAACACAAGUUCCUACACCACAUCCUGGCAGCAUUUGGAGAUUGGCAUCACUGGCAUCAUUGGCUGGAUGCACCAUUUCACCAUUGGCGUUCACCAUGGCCAUGGAGGUAAUUAUGGGUAUUAAGGGUAAAUGGGUUCAUUCCCAUCGGAGCUUAUAUGGACAACAUAAAAACACUUAGAAAAACUGCACCAUGUACCAUGCCAAGUUGAAUGACAAUCUAAAAUGGGCAAGGAUGAUCGUGAAACCUAGUAAAUGUUUAAGUCUAUCUAUCAGAGAGGGAAAACUGGUUGUAAAUUCCUUCUAAUGUAGAGAAACCACUGAAGUGUUGGGGGAUGUGGUAAAAUUCCUCUUUGAGUGACCGAGGACAGGUUGCAAAGCUUAGAGAAUAAAUUGCUAAGGUUACCAAUACUAUUGAUAAGACCUUCUUGCCUGGUAAAUUGAAACAGUGGUCUUACAGUUUGAGCUUUUGCCACUUCUAAUGUGGCCUUUGACGGUGUAUGAGGUUGCUAUGAAUCACGAAUGGCAGUUAGGAAAUGGCUUGGGGUGCCAUGUUGUCUAAGUACUGUAGCACUAUAUGGAAAAGGAAUUUUGGAGUUAUCAUUGACCAUCUUGAUGGACCAAAGACCAGCCUGGAGAUUACUUUGUCAGUCUAAUGAUCCAGCAGUCAAGAACACUGCUCCAGCAGUCAAGAACACUGCAGUCAAGAACACUGCUCCAAAGCAGUCAAGAACACUGCUCCAAAGCAGUCAAGAACACUGCUCCAGCACAGUCAAGAACACUGCUCCAAAACAGUCAAGAACACUGCUCCAAAGCAGUCAAGAACACUGCUCCAGCAGUCAAGAACACUGCAGUUAAGAACACUGCUCCAAAACAGUCAAGAACACUGCUCCAGCAGUCAAGAACACUGCUCCAAAACAGUCAAGAACACUGCAGUCAAGAACACUGCAGUCAAGAACACUGCUCCAAAGCAGUCAAGAACACUGCUCCAAAACAGUCAAGAACACUGCUCCAAAGCAGUCAAGAACACUGCUCCAGCAGUCAAGAACACUGCAGUCAAGAACACUGCUCCAGCAGUCAAGAACACUGCAGUCAAGAACACUGCUCCAGCAGUCAAGAACACUGCAGUCAAGAACACUGCUCCAGCAGUCGAGAACACUGCUCCAGCAGUCGAGAACACUGCUCCAAAGGUUAAAACAGGGCAGAAGUGGAAUCCAUGAGAAGCGGUUCAACAUGCAGAAGGCGAUUACAGCACAGGGAUAUCAUUGGGCAGAUACAGAGUGGAAGAGAAGGGAUUGGGUCAGGUGACCGUUGCAAAGCUUGAGAUAAGGCUACAUUGCCAGAGAGAAGGCAAAUGCUAAAUGCUAAUGCAAAUGCUAAUCAGUUUUGUUUGGGAGAAAGAAGAGGAAACUAGACGAGCAGCGGUUUCUCAGGCAAAGCAAAGGGCAAUGGAUGAACUGGCAUAAUGUUGAGAAGAAGACGAUCAGCUGGAGAGAAUUGUGGGCUAUUAAAUGAAUUGUUGGAGCCUCUUAUGAUGUCCUCCCAACUCAGCAGAACCUCGGUCAGUGGGUGGGUGAGGACGGAAGCUGUAAGUUGUGUAUGGGUAGUGGCCCACUGAAACAUAUUCUUUCUGACUGUAAAGCUAUCUUGACCCAGGGUUGCUACACGUGGAGAUCUGAUCAGGUUUUGAGAUCAUUGGUGUGUUUGUUUGAUAAUAAACAAGUUGAAGUGAACUCUUUGCUGGUUAAUGGGACAGGGACGGUAGAAUUUAUUUUGUGUGAGAGCGGCAGAAAAGUGGACACCAGGCACGUAUAAACUGUACUGGCAAAUGGCUGGCUGAUGUCGGAAGGCAACUUCAAAUUGUUAUGACUGCUUUGAGACCAGACAUGGUGUUGUAUUCUGAAUGUGAGCGCAUGGUUUACUUGAUUGAGUUAACGAUUCCCUUUGAAGAUGUGAUUGAGGAAGCCUUUGAAAGGAAGAAACAAAAGGAUGCGGAACUGAUAGCGGAAGCAAGGGGAAAAGGUUGGCAAGCACACACACACGCACAAGACCAGUGGAGAUAGGUGUUAGAGGCUUUGUAGUCAAAUCAACCACAAUGAGGACGGUCACUCAAAGGAGCUUUAAAGGAGUUUUCAGAGGCUGCUGAAAAAGAGAGCCAGUGGUUAUGGCUAAGGAACUCACAGAUUACUUGAGAACAUGUGAAUUAACCUGUAAAACAUGAAGAAGCCUGUUGUCACAAGAUGUUUGGGUGCCUAGAGUAACCAGGGUUUGUAUCCCAUGUUAUUCCCUUACCCCUAAUCUGGAUUUGUAAUCCCGGGGGCUCUCCACCCCGACCCCCGACCCCUUCACCUACCCUAGCUUGGGUUCGUUUACAACUCCUACCCUUACUCUAACCCAGGUUCAUAUUCCAAAGAGAGCUUCCAUAGUAGUGUUGUGUGAUACAUGCAGGUAAGGCACACACUACUUCAGCAGUUGACAGUGGUUUGGUAGAUCAGGUAGAUGUAACUGUAAAUAAUAACAUGCAAAUCCUUGGGAUCACAGAGCAGUGGACUAGGUGUACAAUACCAUGUUAUGAUAUUACUACACCCACACACACACCCACACACACUCAGACACACACACUCAGACACAGGGACAAGUGUAGGGGAAUUUCUACAAGGUGUGGGUGGGGACAGUUUCUGGGUUAUCGAAAAGUGAAAAUUCGAAACCACUGCAGCAACUUUGUGAAGGAGGAGUUCAAAGUUGUGGCGUUUACUGCAAAACAAAAGCACAAGUGUGAAUGCCGCUCUCGUCAAGACAUGGGCGGGAUUCGAAAAGAAAAGCCCAGUCAGAUUUCGCCUUCGGUUUUGGACGGACAAUCCCCCCAACCACCAAAACUCCCCUAAGGUCGAACGCUCAAUGGUGAACGCUGCUCUUGUUCAGACACGGGUGAGAAACAUCCCAUAAUUCCACCCACCCCCAACACCAUACCCAGAUAAGUAGCACUGUCAUGAAGUGCCAAAGCCACAUCUGCCAGUGGUCUAAUAGAGAGGCUGAUUAAUACGAGGGCACUGCCAACAGGAGGCACCCUUCCGUGUAAUGUAAUCACCCCCGUCACAAUCAUCGAGUGCCCGCCACUGCAUGAAAGUGGUUAGGGGAAUUUGACACCCCGACCAAAUGACUGACUGACUGACUGACUGACAGGUGGAGGGGGCUAUCGUUACUGUACUGUGCAGAGACAAUAGGUCACACUGAAGCUAGCUCAGGCAUGCUAGGUCACACUGAAGCUAGCUCAGGCAUGCUAGGUAAAUAUGAAUGUGGGAAGGUGUAGUGUUCUGAUUUAUAGGGAAUUUAGUAAGGCAUUCAGGAGAUUUCUUGACCAAUCACAGGUCACUUUCGUUCCUCAAUUCCCCAACCAGUCAUGGAUCAUGUUAUUGGUGUGUGCAGGCUCAAGCGGUUUUCAGGAAAUUACUACUGAUGUUUCACUUCAUCCACUGAGAAUGCACAGGUCUCUAAUUCAUCUGGAGGUUUUUUUUUAUGUAGGCUAUAGGUUUGAAAUGUAUAAUGCAAAGAUUUUUUAGAGAAUGAAACACAUAAAUAUAUUCUCAGCACUGAUUGAUUUUCCUUGUAGUAGAACUAUUGAAAUGUAAAAUACAGUACAAUCUUUUUCUUGUUUCUUUAUCUCCCUCUUCCUCUUUGUCUGUCUCCAUAUCUCUCUCUCUCUCCAUAUCUCUCUCUCUCUCUCUCUUUCUGCCAGAGGCUGUGUUCUGGCAAAGUAUCAGGUCCCCGUUGCCUUGACAAUGUAAUCAGCCACAAUUCAAACCAUAGCCAGAAACGUUUCCUGGAGACCAUUGCCAUGCUAGUAUUUGCAGUUGCCGAGGAUUACAUCAUCAGUCUGCAUCAUUUGUAAUCGAGCUUUAGGGAGUAAACGCAUGCAUGAUUAUCUCUGAGUGUGUGUGUCGAAUAAUGCAUGUGUUUGUGUUUGUGUGUGUCGACUAAUGCAUGGGUUUGUGUGUGUGUGUGUGUGUGUGUGUGUGAGUGUGUGUGGAUUAAUGCUCUGCGUCUGUGUAAGUGACCCUGCCAUUG